rnacentral:rRNA from 1 species
CAAUAGCGUAUAUUAAAGUUGUUGCGGUUAAAAAGUUCGUAGUUGGAUUUCUGCUGAGAACGACCGGUCCGCCCUCUGGGUGUGUAUCUGGCUCUUUCUUGGCAUCUUCUUGGUGAACGUUGCUGCACUUGACUGUGUGGAGCGCUACCCAGGACUUUUACUUUGAGGAAAUUAGAGUGUUUCAAGCAGGCAUGCGCCUUGAAUACAUUAGCAUGGAAUAAUAAGAUAGGACCUCGGUUCUAUUUUGUUGGUUUCUAGAGCUGAGGUAAUGAUUAAUAGGGAUAGUUGGGGGCAUUCGUAUUUAACUGUCAGAGGCGAAAUUCUUGGAUUUGUUAAAGACGGACUACUGCGAAAGCAUUUGCCAAGGAUGUUUUCAUUG